UAUGUGAUCGUCUCUCGCAUAUCAAUAAGCGGAGGAAAAGAAACUAACAAGGAUUCCCCUAGUAACGGCGAGUGAAGCGGGAAGAGCUCAAAUUUGAAAUCUUAAAGGGUUUCCCUUUACGAAUUGUAGUUUAAAGAAGUGUUUUCUGUUGAGGUUUUGGUAAAAGUUCUUUGGAAUAGGACAUCAUAGAGGGUGAGAAUCCCGUAUUUGACCUUUACUUUCAACUUUGUGAUACACUUUCAAAGAGUCGGAUUGUUUGGGAAUGCAGUCCAAAAUGGGUGGUAAAUUUCAUCUAAAGCUAAAUAUUGGCGAGAGACCGAUAGCGAACAAGUACCGUGAGGGAAAGAUGAAAAGAACUUUGAAAAGAGAGUUAAACAGUACGUGAAAUUGUCAAAAGGGAAGCGUUUGACACCAGUGUUGUUUUUCUGAAAAUCAAUUAAAGAACUGUUUAUGCUAAGCUGUUUAGACUUUAUCAGCUAUCUGUUUAGUUUUGAGCUUUUCUUUAAUGCACUUUUCAGUUAACAAGUCAACAUCAAUUUCUUUUGCUGUAAAAAAGCUUGAGGAAGGUGGCUUGAGAUUCGUCUUAAGUGUUUAUAGCCUCUUGCCUAUGCAGUCGGAGAGAUUGAGGUCUGCAGCGUAGAUCCUUCGGGGCUAAAUGCAUUUGUGCUAAGUUAUAGCAUUUUAUAGACAACUUGUUGACUAUGAUUUGUCUUGUAGCUUACUCGCUUAUGUUAUUUUACCUACGCUUAGGAUGUUGAUCUCUCACAGUCGAGC
rnacentral:rRNA from 1 species